AUGCCUCAAACGUACACUGGGAAGAAAGCACAGUUGCACGUGUUGUUUAAGAAGGAGCAAAGUAUUAUUAUAUAUCUGCUUUGCUGGAAAUCAGCCGUUCAUUUCUCUCUAACAACAGGGUCUCCUAUUCUGUGUUUGGUUCUGCAAGUUGUAUACAGCACUUUGUUUGAUAACAUCAUUAUAAGAAACAAACAAAUAACAAGGAGAUUUCUCUUCUUUGGGGACAUCUCGUGCCCCUGCUCUACAUAUCUCAUUUCCUAGUCUUCAGAAUCAUCAUUGUGUCUUUCCUUUUUGGACAUCGGUAGAAGUCUUGUUAAAACUAAGAGGUUCAAUCUUCUUUGUCGACCAGAUUUCAGAGCAUGAUUACUUCUUCAACAUACAUUCUUCAUCACUGCACAAUCUCAAAGUAGUGCAAUAUCGCCAUGAUGUGCUGAGGCAUGAACACAUAACCCGUGUACAGUGCCAUUCCAACAAUGGAAACUAGCAUUGAAUCUGAACUACGGUUAAGGAAGAAAGCAUUUGAAACCGAAAGUACAUUAGAAGUCAUAUAAGCACAGCAUUACCAUUUUUCCGUUAUCUACCUCAUAACAUUAUAUUUGUAAAUCCUAAGUACUAACUGUAUUCAACAGUUACAGCUGUAAGAAGAAGCAACAGAACAUUGGAAAACAGAACGCAGGUAGGGCUGAUAAGCUGAAUUACAGCAGGACGCUUUGCAAGAUAUCCAUUGCCUUGUCAUAGACAGAAACAGUACAGACUGAAGCAUGGGAAGGGAGAAGAAGGAAUUGAAAAUGGGCACUGAGGAUAUAUGAAUUAUGCAUAUAUCCUGCAAGGUAUUGAGCAAUACCUGCAAAAGCCAGCACAAUCAGUCAGACAGAACAGACAACCAUUGGAAAAAAAAAAAAAGAAAGGCAAAAACAAAAGGAUUAUAUGAAUACCUGUACUAAGUAAGAGCUGUUAUUUGUGCACAGCCUACUCACUGUAAAGCAGACAGCAUUAAAUGCCAAUAUCAGCUUAUCAGAACAGAAUGACAUAAUAAAUUUAUCAAUCACAAAACAUCUGGCAUGAAAGUUGUACUGCAACCAUAAAGCCAGGAAACCAGUGUUCCCUAGGCUUUAAGUUCCUACAUUAUUUGGUUUGCUGCUCUAUCAGCUCAGACCUUUUCUCAUAGACAAGGAGCUCCAUUUAAGUGUUGACAGUACUCAGGAAAAAAAGGCUGCAAGGGUAAUGAAAAAUGUGGGUGACAUUGUUACACACACCUUUCCAGAUAUUUCAGUCACAACGCCUCGCAGGAUCAGCAUGAUUUGGAGUAAAUUUAUAUAAAUAAAUAGAUGCUCACUGGUAUUUUACUAUGGCAGAGCUGCAAAACAAACCUCACAUGAAGCCAUCUGCUAAGCAAUCUUAAGAUGAUCCCUUCAUUUCCAAAUGGAAACCAGAAACUCAGAGAAGUCAGAUAGUUUACACUGUAAACAUACAACCAGACCUUUGUCACGCUCCAGGAUUCUCAAGGCUUUAUCUGCAGAAACUACAGCAUCAGACUACCCAAGGAUUAGGCCAUUCAAAGUUUAAGACUUCAGAAAUCCAAAAGUUUUACUCUCAACAAUAACCUGCAGAGAUUCAGAAACACUAUAUAAAGCUCUGAAGAUUAACAAGCGUGAUAACACAGAUAACAGUACUCAGUUUCCACAGGUGAAAUCAGAGGAGCCGUGCAUGCUCCGUAACUUUGAGAAAUGAAGUUACCAUAGCAAGUGUGCAACAAAAGCUCUGUGGCUGACUUCCCCAAGAUAGAGCAGAGGUAUAUGUGGUGCUUAUUAGAGCAUACCAGCUUCUGGGUGUAUUUUUAGUCCCAGAAGAUUGCACAAUGCAAGAUACUAAAAUGAAGGUCAACCCAUAGAUCUACAUUCUAGUAUCAGUGCUCCCAGCACUUCUAGAACACAAGAGGCUGGAAAUGCACCCAACAGGUCUCUGCACUGACAGCUCCAAGUCCCCUGCCUGUGUGGUCCUUGCACAGUGCCUGGCAGACCUGGCCCACCAGCAGUGACAGCAUUCCCUCUGAGGACAGGCACAGUUGUGCUCCUCUGAUGCUGCAAACAAAACAUGGGACACUUAGGACAUUAUUUCAAGUGGAGCAACAAUCACUUCACUGCAAAACAGGCACUUUAUAAAGUAAGUAAACAUUCGUACACCUUGUCAAUUACUUAAAUGGCUUGCCCAAGUUAAGAAGCUGUCAGGUUAACACAAGAGGAAAAAACAUAUACUUAUAACUAGCCUAAUUGUAAGGAAAGCAAAAAUGAAAUGUUUUCAGUGAUACAGACACAGCAUAAACAGAUGAGCGUGUUCUAGUCAGAAACAUGGUAUUUUGAAACUAAGAACCACUGCCUCAAUAACCACGCACAGUGCAUCUGUAAGUAUUAGAAAAACAAAAAAUAAUAAUGACCCCACUUUUAUCAAGUGUACACAAGAAAACUCUCUGCAACCUGUAACCAGCUGUAACCUGGGAAACCACUCUUACAUAAUGGAACAAGUUCCUUUACAACUGACCAGGAAAAGCAGCUUUUCACUCUUAAACCUUUUUUGACGGUUGAAAGCAGUGUUAAUGUUUUUGUUUUAGUUUAUCUCUGUGCCUCUCAGCAUUAACUGGAGAUGGCUCAUGGUCAUUCAUGAGACAUCGUUUUAACUCGAGAUCAAAACAGCCAUGCUUGCAAAGAACACCACUGGUGAUAAAUAACAGCCCUUAGGAGACCACAGUGCCAGUCUGACAGAGCUGGCUGACAAAGCUCACCUAUAAGCAGCCUGCAUACAGAAGCCUUCGCAUUAAAUCUAUCCAGUUCUUCCACUCCAAAAGAGCCAAACAAAUUUACUAGCUGAAGGAUUAAAUGCUCUUCUAACAAACACCGUGUGACAAAGCGCAGCCCAAACCGAAGCUCCCCAGGUUUUGCAGCACACACAUUUACUUCCUACUAGACAACAAAACAGAAUUCACAAAAGAUUGUGUUGAGCAGAAACCGUGGGGCUCCAGUAGAAGACUCGGGGGAAAAAACUACCGCAAUUCUACGGGAGAAAAAAAUAAAAAAAAUAAAUAAUAGUAGUAGUAAUAAUAAU
ensembl:lncRNA